CCUACGGGUGGCAGCAGUAGGGAAUGUUGCGCAAUGGGGGAAACCCUGACGCAGCAACGCCGCGUGAUCGAUGAAGACCUUCGGGGUGUAAAGAUCUGUCAGUGGGGACGAAACCUGACGGUACCCACAGAGGAAGCACCGGCUAACUCCGUGCCAGCAGCCGCGGUAAUACGGGGGGUGCAAGCGUUGGCCGGAAUAAUUGGGCGUAAUGAGUUCUUAGGUGGCACGUUAAGUCUGGUGUUAAAGGCGGAAGCUCAACUUCCGUAGGGCACUGGAUACUGGCGAGCUUGAAUGCGGUAGCGUUCACGGGAAUUCCUGGUGUAGCGGUUACAUGCGUAGAUCUCAGGAGGCACAUCGGUGGCGUACGCGCUUUACUGGGCCGUACUUGCCACUGAGGAACG
rnacentral:rRNA from 1 species